UUCUAGCUCCAAAAAUGACCGAGUAAUGAAGGAAAAGGUCGGUGACUAUCGGUUUAGCGACAUCUCUUUAGGCUCUUGAAUUUAAUGCAAGAACGGUUCAUGUCAGUUGUUGCUACUCCCUUGAGAAAGAAACUGGUGCCCGAUUGCGGUAAAAACGCAGCAGCUUAUUGUGUCACGGUUUUGCUGAAAGAUGAUAGGUCUAGGAAGAUUGUAAAUCUUGUCCGAGGAAAUAAUGAACAUUCAAUUAAGUUAGAGAAAUGAAAAGAUCAUACCGAUUCUCGAAAUACAAAUGAAUUAAACAAUCAAUUUAUUUUCUAGCAUUAAUGAGGAAAAAAGACCACUGAAUAAAGAAAAAUGAAAA